rnacentral:tRNA from 1 species
GGGGAGUUAGCUCAGGUGGUAGAGCGCCAGAAUCGCACUCUGGAGGUCAGCGGUUCGAGUCCGCUACUCUCCA